UGGGGAAUUUUGGACAAUGGGCGAAAGCCUGAUCCAGCAAUGCCGCGUGUGUGAAGAAGGCCUUCGGGUUGUAAAGCACUUUUGUCCGGAAAGAAAUCCUUGGCUCUAAUACAGUCGGGGGAUGACGGUACCGGAAGAAUAAGCACCGGCUAACUACGUGCCAGCAGCCGCGGUAAUACGUAGGGUGCAAGCGUUAAUCGGAAUUACUGGGCGUAAAGCGUGCGCAGGCGGUUUGCUAAGACCGAUGUGAAAUCCCCGGGCUCAACCUGGGAACUGCAUUGGUGACUGGCAGGCUAGAGUAUGGCAGAGGGGGGUAGAAUUCCACGUGUAGCAGUGAAAUGCGUAGAGAUGUGGAGGAAUACCGAUGGCGAAGGCAGCCCCCUGGGCCAAUACUGACGCUCAUGCACGAAAGCGUGGGGAGCAAACAGGAUUAGAUACCCUGGUAGUCCACGCCCUAAACGAUGUCAACUAGUUGUUGGGGAUUCAUUUCCUUAGUAACGUAGCUAACGCGUGAAGUUGACCGCCUGGGGAGUACGGUCGCAAGAUUAAAACUUAAAGGAAUUGACGGGGUCUAGCUGUUUCCU
rnacentral:rRNA from 1 species